UACGUAGGGUGCGAGCGUUAAUCGGAAUUACUGGGCGUAAAGCGUGCGCAGGCGGCGCCGCAAGUCGAGUGUGAAAUCCCCGAGCUUAACUUGGGAAUUGCGCUCGAAACUACGGUGCUGGAGUAUGGCAGAGGGAGGUGGAAUUCCACGUGUAGCGGUGAAAUGCGUAGAUAUCUGGAGGAAUACCGGUGGCGAAGGCGGCAUCCUGGACCGGCAUUGACGCUGAGGAGCGAAAGCUAGGGGAGCAAACGGG
rnacentral:rRNA from 1 species